CAAAUCAUUCAAUCAGAUCAGCAAAUGGGCAAUCAAUAUACCUCAAAGGUUCCUUUUUCUCCAUCUAUAAAUAGGGGUUACUCACACUUCACUCAUCCAUCCCUCCAGCAAACAAGCUUCUUUUGAGUCUCUCAUUGCUUCCCAGUUUUCAUUCCCCUAAAGUAAUGGCUUACUCCAAGACGUUUCUCCUUCUGGGUCUUCUAUUCGCUGUUGUCCUUAUCCUCUCCUCUGAGGUGUCGGCCAGAGAGCUAGCCGAGGCUGCACAUACCCGUGAGUUUCCCACUUUUUUUUACACACUUGUUAUAUCAAUUUACAGCUGAUGUACUGUGACUAAUUCAACUAAUCCAAUUUUUUUUUUUUGUUCUAAUGACAGAAGGGAGUGUGGAAGACGCUAAGUCCUGGGGACAUGGGCAUGGCCAUGGACAUGAACACGAGCAUGGCCACUGGGGACAUGAACAUGGGCACGGCCAUGGGCAUGGGCAUGGGCAUGGACACCACGGCCAUGGUGGUGCUGGUGAGACUGUGGAGAAUGAAACUGAAGCUGGCGAGAAUUAGAUAGCAUUUCUAGCUGCUGUAUUUUCACGCCCAUGGGUGGAAGUAGGUUGUGUGGUUUAUGUGAGUUUGUAUGUGAAUAAGGCAUGUGCUUGUCAGUGGUUGCCACCAAUGUUCCUCUAGGAAGAUGGUUGUGUUGCUUUGACAAGAUGUUAAAGCAUGUGUGAAACUUGCAGAUGUCAACUUAAUUAUUGUCCUGAAAUUAGAACUUUUUCCAAGUCCUUUGUCUCUAUAAGCAAAGUAAGCAAAAUAAGUAAGGUAAAAGCAGAAAGAUCAAACAGGAUUUCUCUGCAUAAUUAAGUAUCUCCAUUGAUCUUUUUUAAAUGAAGACUAAAUAUUUGUGGGUUCAGACCUCUUUACAGGUAUUUGUGGGUUCUUGAUUUCAUUGUUCCAUAUGCUCUUACUUCUCAUUGAAAAAAAG
rnacentral:lncRNA from 1 species